GGGUAGAUGGCGAAAUUGGUAGACGCAUCACAUUCAAAAUGUGACAAUUAUAUUGUAAGGGUUCAAAUCCCUUUCUACCUA
rnacentral:tRNA from 1 species